rnacentral:sRNA from 3 species
GCCUCAGCCCUCUAUAACCUCAUGCCCAACCCGGCAUGGGUUGGCUGCUUU